CCUCGGGCAUGCUGGACGGCUUGACGAGGCUUCCCAGACUGAAGAGAAUGACUCCUGGCUUCCCCGCGCCGGCGACCCACUGCUGCAGAUCCUGGCACGAGGGAGAGGGAGGCAAAGCUGUAGCAGCAGCAGCAGCAGCAACAGCAGCGAGUGUUUCGUCAAGGGGAGCAGCAGAGCCAAAGACAGGGGAAGGGACGUACCUCGGGGAGCGGCUCGGCGGGGCGGCAGUGUAUUCCUCCGGCGUGCACCACCGUGGGCGUGUAGGGCAGCGUCGGGUUCUCCAUCGUCCUGACGCUGCGGAGGAAGGAGAGGAGUAAAGUGUGAACACACACACACACACACAAAAAAAAAAAAUAAUAAAUAA